AAACCCUAAUCAGUGGCGGCUCUGCCCGUAAAACCCUAGUCAGCCGCAUGUGUUACAGCUUUGGCGGAGCCUCGUUACCUUUUUCACCAAUGGUAGGCGUUACGAAUAAGGAGCGAAAACUCCUUUAUCUCUUUCUUAAAUGGACCUACAUUUGAAAUUCAUCAUUGUAUUUAUACUAAAUGAGGAAUCCUCUAAUACUAAAUCCAACUUAGAGGUUUAGCGCGGGAUAUAGAGAGCUUUGAGUCUCUUUAUAACGUGUUUGGUUUACAACGAAGCUCAUGGAAUCGGACGGAUACUGCGCCGUCAUAUGUCUCCAGCAGAAGUGGGUAUUGGUUUUAAAAUGAAGAGUCAGAGGUUACUCUGAAAGCGCUAGCAGGUCCGUGUUUCAGCUCGACUCUGUAUUAUGAUUCACCAACCGAGGGAAGCCGAGGAGUGUAGAUCAGGGUCUAGCUCUGCCAGAAGAUUGCAUUAGAAGCAUGAAAUGUAUAAGUCAGAGGUUACUCUGAAAGUGCUAGCAGCUGUCUCAGCUUGGCUCUGUAUUAUGAUUCACCAACCAAGAGUAGGCGAGGAGUGUAGAUUAGGGGCUAGCUCUGCCAGAAGAUUGCAUUAGAAGCGUGAAAUAGAUAUGAUUUGUGGAUAGUAGAAUAGAAGAAUCUUUAUUGCACCAACUCACGCUAGUUGCUGGGAAGGAAGGGUAGUGUGUUCCAAUACCUCCAUCGCUUAGUAGUUAACGACAUAUCUAAUUUCUGUAUGAUUUUAUUCUGUAAAUAUCUUUACAUCUAUUACGGUGAAGAAUACAAAUAGGAAAUAGGAAAUAGGAAUUCAGAAAGUUUUCAAAUUCUCUUUGUAAUAGUAAUCGGGAGUGGUGCUGAAAUUAAUUGUUUCAUCUUGUGUUGGAAAAAAAGUAAAUAUGACUCGUCGCUUGACAUGAUCCUUCUACUUUCAA